GCCGGGUGUGGUGGUGCACGCUUGUAAUCCCAAAUACUCAGGAGGCUGAGGCAGGAGAAUCGCUUGAGCCCGGGAGGCAGAGGCUUUAGUGAGCCGAGAUCCCGCCAUUGCACUCCAACCUGGGCAACAGAGCGAGACCCUGUCUCCC
rfam:Pan troglodytes isolate Yerkes chimp pedigree #C0471 (Clint) chromosome 1, whole genome shotgun sequence.